rnacentral:rRNA from 1 species
GCCGCGAAUCGCCCUUCGGGGUGCCCAGGCGCGAAACCUUUGCCAUGCGCGAAAGCGUGACAGGGGAACUCCGAGUGGUAGAGGGGUUUACCUCUCUAUCUUUUGGCCGAUCUAAGUCAUCGGCAGAAUAAGAUCUGGGUAAGACCAGUGCCAGCCGCCGCGGUAAUACUGGCAGAGCAAGUGGUAUCCACGAAUAUUGGGUCUAAAGAGUCCGUAGCGGGCCGAUUAAGUCCACUGUGAAAUCUGACGGCUUAACCGUCAGGCGGGCAGUGGAUACUGACCGGCUUGGGAGCGGGGGAGGUCGGGAGUACUGGCGGGGUAACGGUAAAAUGUUGUAAUCCUGCCAGGACUACCAGUGGCGAAGGCGCCCGACCAAAACGCGUCCGACCGUGAGGGACGAAGGCUAGGAGAACGAAUCGGAUUAGAUACCCGAGUAGCCCUAGCAGUAAAUUAUGCGGACUGUGGUGUUGCAACGACUUCGAGUCGUUGCAGUGCUGUAGCGUAGGUGUUAAGUCCGCCACCUGGGGAGUACGGCCGCUAGGUUGAAACUUAAAGGAAUUGGCGGGGGAGCAC